GGAAGGGGUGUAUUUAUUAGAUAAAAAACCAACGCCCUUCGGGGCUCCUUGGUGAAUCAUAAUAACUUAACGAAUCGCAUGGCCUUGCGCCGGCGAUGGUUCAUUCAAAUUUCUGCCCUAUCAACUUUCGAUGGUAGGAUAGUGGCCUACCAUGGUGGCAACGGGUAACGGGGAAUUAGGGUUCGAUUCCGGAGAGGGAGCCUGAGAAACGGCUACCACAUCCAAGGAAGGCAGCAGGCGCGCAAAUUACCCAAUCCCGAUACGGGGAGGUAGUGACAAUAAAUACUGAUACGGGGCUCUUUUGGGUCUCGUAAUUGGAAUGAGAACAAUUUAAAUCCCUUAACGAGGAACAAUUGGAGGGCAAGUCUGGUGCCAGCAGCCGCGGUAAUUCCAGCUCCAAUAGCGUAUAUUAAAGUUGUUGCAGUUAAAAAGCUCGUAGUUGAACCUUGGGUCUGGCUGGCCGGUCCGCCUCACCGCGAGUACUGGUCCGGCUGGACCUUUCCUUCUGGGGAACCUCAUGGCCUUCACUGGCUGUGGGGGGAACCAGGACUUUUAC
rnacentral:rRNA from 1 species